rnacentral:rRNA from 1 species
UACGGAGGGGACUAGCGUUGUUCGGAAUUACUGGGCGUAAAGCGCAUGUAGGCGGUUUUGUAAGUCAGGGGUGAAAUCCCGGGGCUCAACCUCGGAACUGCCUUUGAUACUGCAAAUCUCGAGUCCGGAAGAGGUGAGUGGAAUUCCUAGUGUAGAGGUGAAAUUCGUAGAUAUUAGGAAGAACACCAGUGGCGAAGGCGGCUCACUGGUCCGGUACUGACGCUGAGGUGCGAAAGCGUGGGGAGUAAACAGG